UGCCGGGUCGUCUAAUGGUAGGACACGUGACUUUGAAUCACGCAGUCGAGGUUCGAGCCCUCGCCCGGCAG
rnacentral:tRNA from 1 species